GGGCGUAAAGGGCGCCGUUAGGCGGUUUGACAGUUCUGAAUGUGAAAUCUAUGGGCUCAACUCAUAGCCUGCAUUAAAACUGUCGGGCUUUGAGUAUGGGAGAGGUGAGUUGGAAUCUCCGGUGUAGCGGUGAAAUGCGUAGAUAUCGGAAGGAACACCUGUGGCGAAAGCGGCUCACUGGACCAUAACUGACGCUGAGGCGCGAAAGCUAGGGGAGCAAACAGGAUUAGAUACUCUGGUAGUUUUAGCUUUAAACGAUGAUUGCUUGGUGUAGCAGGUACUUAAUCCUGCUGUGCCGAAGCUAACGCGAUAAGCAAUCCGCCUGGGGAGUACGGUCGCAAGGCUGAAACUCAAAGGAAUCGACGGGGGCUUGCACAAGCGGUGGAGCAUGUGGUUUAAUUUCGACGCAACGCGAAAAACUUUACCUGGGCUUGAAAUGUAGUGGAAAUCCGGUGGAAAACAUUCGGCGUUCUAGCAAUAGACUUGCUAUAUAGGUUGCUUGCAUUGGCUUGUUCGUCAGCUUCGUGUCCGUGAGAUUGUUUGGGGUUUAAGUUCCCGCAACGAGCGCAACCCCUUUAUUCUUUCAGUUUGCUACCCAUUUUAGUUUGAGCACUUCUGACGAAACUCGCCCUCGGAUAACGGGGAGGAAGGGUGGGGGGAUGACGUUCAAGUCCCUUCAUGGCCCUUUAUGUCCCAGGGCUACACACGUGCUACAAAUGGCUCGGGUACAAAUCGCUGCAAAUCUCGCGAGGGGGAGCUAAUCGGAAAAAGUCGGCCUCAGUUCGGGAUUGGAGUCUGCAACUUCGACUCCCAUGAAGCUGGAAUCGCUAGUAUCGCAGAUCAGCAUGCUGCGGUGAAUACGUCUCCCGGGCCUUGUACACCCC
rnacentral:rRNA from 1 species